UGGACAGGGCUCUGAGCACCCCAGUCUAGCUGAAAUAUUUUGGCUUAUUGCAGAGGUGGAUGUGUGUGAUUAAUGAUCUUUAGAAGUCCUUUCCAACUCAAAAUAGUCUAUAUUCUAAUGAAAAACUUCUGAGAUUACAGCUUAUCAGUACUUCUUUUAAAAAAGCAAGAAACCUUUUAGGACUGAUUGUUAUACAUGCCAGGAUCUGAGAGGAGAAAUGUUAUGAAAGAUAAUAAAUACACUGCUCCACUUUAUAUUUAGCUAACAUCUUGAUCUGGAGGAUUGGUUUUUUAAAUUAAGCAUGCAGAACCUUAAUUUCUCAUUUCUAGAAAACACGUGUUUCACAAGUAUUUAAUUUCUUAGUAAAGUAGCACUAUUGUAUUGCAGUGUCAAUGCCAUAUUGGGUUAAAACAUUGAUUCAAAAUUUUACAUAUCUGGUAUUUCUAAAUGUUCAAGUAAUUAUCUUUAUUGCUUCAGAAAUAAAUAUGGAAAUUAUCUAAGGCAGUACAAUUUUGCCAUUUUCUCUUUAAUGAUUAGGUGUAUUGAAAUUAUUUUCAUAUACUAGGCAGUCAAAAGAGUAUGUUUUUCAUUCAUUUCAGAUGUUGAAUAGAAAUUCUAAAUGGAUCAAUAACUGAUUAACCAAAAUCCUGAGAAUGCAGUUAGAUGAAACAAAAGUCUUUCUGUCAGUAACUUAUAAUGGCAUCUCACAAAUUGCAAUUAAGUUACUCUGAAACUCUCUAAGAAGUUUGUUUUUACUUUUUUCUCUCACUAGAAAAAAAAAAUAAAAACAAACACCCUUGAAAGCACUCUUUUAUUUUGCUGCAUGUGCAAGGUCACAAGAUUCAACUGGAAAGCAUCACAGUGGUGGAAAUGCUUAUUUUUUCUGGGCUACAGCAUGCUUGAGGAAAAUCCUAGCUUGCAUCUACCAAGUUUCUUUUUUGCUGUAAACUUUGCUCAGUAGAAACUGCAUGGCUUUGCUGAACUUAAAACUUCUCAGUUAGUAUAGAAAGGAAGGAAUUCCUGUAACUUCAUGAAGUUUUAAUAACAAUUGAGGUAGGUCUGGCCGUUCAGCUUGUUUAGUUUAGUUUUCUUUCUCUGCUACAGAGGUCAGAUAAAUUCAGUCUAACCCAGCCUGUGCCUGCAGCAACAGGUGAUGGUGCUUUGUGAGAUCACAACAGCCAGGCAACUUUCUGCUGUCCCAGCUACUUCUACUCUGCUCUUCACCUACCUCCAGCCAUAAUGAUCAUGUCAGAGGUGUUGUGGGGCAUGCAGUGAAGAUGAAACAGUACAAAUAACAGAUGAAGCUGUCUGGAGUUUAUUUGAAACUUUUCCUGCUUUGUUGCACAAAAAAAAUGUUGGUUUUUUAAAACAAGAUGAUGCAAAGCAAUCUUUCACUUGACCGUCAUAACCUCUAUUUCACCUCACUUAUCCACUUUUCUUUUUAGCUAAAUGUGUUGCGCUUACUUUUAUGGGGAAAAAAAAAAGAAAAUUAAAUAAUCCAGCCCUUUUCAUCUUUUCAUUAAUACUUGCAGAAAACAUUUCUCCAAUACAGCUUGGGCAAAAGCAAUGCAAGAAGAGAAGAACAUUUAGGUUGUCAGAAUUUAUGAAAAAAAGAAAAAGCAAGCAUGUGCCAGACUUUGAAGGUUGCCAUAUUUGUGCCAGGAAAGUUCUGGAAACCUAGAUUUUUUCCUUUGACCAUGACCCCAGUCCUCCUUGGCAGGCAGAGCAGUCAGGCUUCUGAAGUGCCCUUGGGACCCUGUCCAGAGUCACUGGUAGUGAAAAGAAGGCUUCCCCUGAGGCUCUGGGCACAGCCAGGGAAGCUGCCUGCCUCCUGUCAGGCUGCUCAGAGUGCACACCAGGACAGCCCAGCCAAGAGGGGAGAGCAGGGCCCUUGGCCACAUCGUUAGAGCACUGCAUCUGCUUUGGCUUCAAAAGAUGUUUGGAGAGCAUGUCCCUACUGGAAAUCAGUGGCAGGUUCCCAGGACUUCAGAAAGUUGUGCCCUAAUUAGUGCCAACCAAAGAAAAAAGACAAACACAGAGUAGCCCCAAAUAGGAAAGCACAGUAGAAUAUUCUAUUUUGUUCAAUUUGUUAAUUUUAUAUAAACUGCUAUAUUUCUAAUGUAAUAUUAAAUAAGCAUUGAGUUGUGACUGAAGGGUGUCCCAAUCCCAUUACUGAAGUGUUACUGAAUUUAGGAGGUGCUUCUAUCUCCUGAUCAUCCAGCAAGGAGAAUUUCUCAAGAAGAGUGUGUUUUCAGAGAACACAUCUGCAUCCUUAUGCAGCAAUGGGCAUCAGUUGAGGCCUAAACUGAGCAUUACAGUUACUCUUGGUUAAGUGACAAUGAGUCUUUGCUAACAGUGUUUAAUCCUUAGUUAACCACCUUAAAUUACAUUUUCUUUUCUGCAGCAGAUUAUGUACUAAGCAGAGAUCCAGGAUUUGUCCUCUCACUCUCUCAGUGAGCUGGAAUGUGUCCAAUGGAACCUGGAAGUGCUCCCCUCAUCAUAUGAUACCAUGAGUUGAAUGAAUUCAGCAGUUGCGUCCAAGCAGGAUGUGUUUCAGCAAUAUUGCUUGAAUAAUGUGCUGGGUAGAGAUUGGACUCUGCUCCCUUCAGCAAUGCAGCGCUGCAAGCCAUGACCUCAGUUGGAGAAAAAGGCUACUGGUACCUGUAAAAAUGUGCAAAAGAUGCUCAUAGAGAAAACAGACCUUUGGCUACCCUUGGCAACGGCAUGGGAUUAUGGAUUAGGAAUGGCAGUAACUGUCAAGUGUAAGAUACAAGUUGGUUUGGUGAGUACAGGUGCAUAAAAAAUGGCUAAGAAAUAGCUACACAGUGCCCCUGAGAGGAGCAGGACUAACUGAAUAUUUCUUAUUAUAUAUCAUACAAGAGGUAGAGCAAUUGAAUUAGUUUCCAAUAUGUUGUUUCAGUUCUGAAAUCUACUCCAUGCGAAAUGUAAAGGCAAAAACUUUAUCAAUUACUUUAAAGGGAUGGUGUUUUAAAUUAUUGUGUUUUUUAAAUUCCAUUUUAUUUAGUCAAUGUUCUUCAGGAUCUUUAUCUAUUUAUAAAAAAUUCAGUAUUUUUUAGUCCUUUUAUACCAGGUUUAUAGAGAGAAGUUAACCAUGAGCCCAUUCUGUUCCAGCCAAGUUACAUUUACAGGGGAGAAGCAGCAAGGGUCCCUGCUGAGCCAUGAUUUACAAUGUAAAUAGCAAAUGCCAAAGAUUAAGUGGUGGUUUUCCCUUGUUUGGUGCUUAAGGGAAGAAAUAGGGUUACUUCUCUGUUUAAUUUGGGCUAAGUAAUGCCACUCUCACAGUGUAUCAUUCUGUGCAAGUGCUUCAGCUCCUCAAGAUGGGCAUCUUGGGAACUGAGCAUUUCAGGAAUUAGUGUUUUAAGCAUGAUGCCCUUUCUAGUUGAGGGAAAUAACUUUUUCCUGUCCUUUUCUUACUCCAGACUGAAGAUUUUAGACGUCCUCAACAAAAAAAACACAAAAAAACAACCAAACAAACAAAAAAACCACCACCAACAACAAAAAACAUCUGGAAAGGUGAGGGAAUGUUGCCACUGAAAAUCUUUUCAGCUUGGCUGUGAGCAGCCUGGAUGACCAUAUAAAAUAGAACAACUUCUUAGAUGUUGAUUGCUGCAAUGUCUAAAAUGUAUUUUAACAUGAAGAUAAUAAUACUGAAUUUUAUCUGUGAGUAAAUUAUGCAGACACGAAAACCAGCAGAAAUCCUGAAGUAAACUUCCUUAAAUACAAUGAGUUGUCAAAUUUGCUCUGUAAAGAAAGCUGCUGACAGGGAGCUCAGAAAACCAGAAUAAUUCUAAGUACAUGCCCUGUGCAGAAAAAAACCAAUAUGCUGAGCCAGGCUCCAUGUUUUUGUUGCUGUCCUUUGAAUAACAACAAGCACUGCUUCACCAGCUUGGAGCAAUAUAUGAACAGGAUUAUUACUUUAGGAACAAUUCACUUUCAUAUGCUAAGGGAAUUAAAAUCUACUGUGAAUUUUCAGCAGCAGCAAGAGACAGAAAUUGAGGGCUGAGAGCUUUAAUCUGGGGGGCUGGAGAGCCAGCCCACAGAUGAAGUGGGGUUUAAAAGGAAAGCAGAAAGCAAGGUUAGGGUUAUGGCAAUUAUAGAUCAGGAAAAGAUUUGUAACAAAAUAUUUCUUCAAAUUAAAGUCAGUUGGGCAUUUUUCAGGUAAUAGUGUCAUACUGACUUGUUUCUGAACAAAGUGGAGCAUGUUGCCUUACUUUUUGAGACUUAUUGACUCUUGUGACUUGCAUGUGUUUGUUACCACCUAGUGGGAAUUCAGUCUCCAGGCACUGUACCAUCUGUUUGGGGAAAAGUGCCCUGUACCUGACUUUCAAUUUUAUAAAUGAAAAGUAAUACUUAGUAUUUGGGGAUCAUUUAGGAAAGCAAACAUGUCUGUAAAUACGAAUGAAUAUUUCUCCUAUCUGGUAACGAGGUGGUUUUAUUUUUUUAAUUUGAAAAUUACAUUGGAAUGUCAAAGAUUUUCAGUUGUCUUUCCCAGCUGCAGAAAAAAGAAGCCUAAAUUUUUCCUGGAAAUUAUAAUUGUGAGGGCUUUGUUAAAAUUAGUUGUAUUUCUGUCUUUGUUAACAAAUACCAUUUAUUGUUCACACUACUUAAUAGAAUCAUUAAUAUAUGCUAGUUUCUAGCUCUGCAUAUUAUCUACUCGGGCUGGGCAGUGGAGUUGUUAGAAAAGUUUGUGAUUUGUUUAUACAGGGUAGUUAGAAAUUGUUGGUGUAGCUUUUUAUCUUGUAUCUUCUGUACUUCAGCAUUUUUUCCCUCUGAAACCUUUAAUGUUAUAUAUAUUAAAAGAGUACAUAGCCUCUCAACAAAAAUUAGAAGUUCUAUUGUAUUAAGUACCUCCCAUCCAUACAGUAAGAGAUUAUCCUACUCUCAUCUGGAUGGACAAGACGGCAAGUCUGGUAUUUAGGUAAUGGUUUUAUUCCCAUUUAAAUUACUGACAAAGUUGCUCUUUUCUGUAUUUUUAUCUAUAGAAGUCUUUUAAUGAGGCUCAAGAAUUGUUACAUAAUUGGUGAGGAAACAGUUUAACAGGACAGUGCCAAAAUUUGGACCUGAAUCCAUUGGUUUAGGACCACAGUAGACAAGAUCAGCUCUGAACCCUAACUGGCUCAGUUUUUGGCCAGAAAUUUGAAUUCCAAGGUUAUCUUUCCUUUGCCAUUGAGUCUGGGGUGCUGUUUGUCUCUGGAUGGUGAUAAGAUAUGGAGGAGGGUAAGCCGGAGGAGAAGCGACCAGUUUGCAAUAUUCUAGUCAUGGAAAUUGGCUGGAAAACCAGGAAAUUCAACCACAUGGCAAUUCCUUCAGCCUGGUAAGCCCUUUCUGGUUUGAAAGCAGUUCUGUGUCAAUAUAUGUUGAUUGUUGGCCAAAUGCAAGCAUUAUUGCCAAGGGAAUGAGCUAAAGACUCUUGAAAAAUCAGUGUAAAAUAAAGUAAGAAUAUUAAACUCUUAAAGAAGAGACAGGGGGAAAGAGUGAGAAUGUUCAUGUGGGCUUUGGCAGUCAAUUUGCAUUACCAAUAGCACAGAAGCAGUUAGAAGAUCACAGAUUCACAGAAUCACU